rnacentral:rRNA from 1 species
CGCGUGUACUGGUCCGGCCGGGCCUUUCCUUCUGGAGAUCCCCAUGCCCUUCACUGGGUGUGUGGGGGAACCAGGACUUUUACUUUGAAAAAAUUAGAGUGUUCAAAGCAGGCCUUUGCUCGAAUACGUUAGCAUGGAAUAAUAGAAUAGGACGUGCGGUCCUAUUUUGUUGGUUUCUAGGACCGCUGUAAUGAUUAAUAGGGAUAGUCGGGGGCAUCAGUAUUCAAUUGUCAGAGGUGAAAUUCUUGGAUUUAUUGAAGACUAACUACUGCGAAAGCAUUUGCCAAGGAUGUUUUCAUUAAUCAGUGAACGAAAGUUAGGGGAUCGAAGACGAUCAGAUACCGUCGUAGUCUUAACCGUAAACUAUGCCGACUAGGGAUCGGGCGAUGUUUCUUUCUUGACUCGCUCGGCACCUUACGAGAAAUCAAAGUUUUUGGGUUCUGGGGGGAGUAUGGUCGCAAGGCUGAAACUUAAAGAAAUUGACGGAAGGGCACCCCCCGGGGUGGAGCCUGCGGCUUAAUUUGACUCAACACGGGGAAACUCUCCAGGUCCAGAUGAAAUAAGGAUUGACAGAUUGAGAGCUCUUUCUUGAUUUUUCAGGUGGUGGUGCAUGGGCCGUUCUAGUUGGUGGAGUGAUUAGUUGGCUUAAUUGCGAUAACGAAGGAGACCUCAACAUCCUAAAUAGCCAGCCUAGCUUUGGCUGUUGCCGGCUUGUUUGAGGGAGGAUCGG